GGUGACCCUCAAGAGGAUAAGACUGACAUCUUUGACUUUCCCAUCCCUUCAAGAAACAUUGAUAAAACCAUUAAACGAAAGAAGAAAAAGUGCAAAGUCUGGCACAAGGUCUGGAAAGUGAUUUCAAAAAUGCUUGAGGAAAAUGAAAGGCUCAGAAGUCGACUGUUGAUCUGCAGCCAGUUAGAUGGAGGAGGCUCUGGCAGGAUCCAGAGGUCACAGAAUGGAGCAUACCUGGACACGGAUGAGUCCAUCUUUGGCUGGGUGUAGCAAGGAAAUAAAAGAAGAUUCAGCCCCAGAGGAAAUAUAAACAAAGUGAAAGCUUUUAUUUUGAUCUAGUUCUUCCUGGAGUCAGUGCAAGAUUGCAAAGUGACUUCA